ACUCCUACGGGAGGCAGCAGUGAGGAAUAUUGGUCAAUGGGCGCAAGCCUGAACCAGCCAUGCCGCGUGCAGGAAGACUGCCCUAUGGGUUGUAAACUGCUUUUAUACAGGAAGAAACACUCGGACGUGUCCGAGCUUGACGGUACUGUAAGAAUAAGGAUCGGCUAACUCCGUGCCAGCAGCCGCGGUAAUACGGAGGAUCCAAGCGUUAUCCGGAAUCAUUGGGUUUAAAGGGUCCGUAGGUGGAUUAGUAAGUCAGAGGUGAAAGCCUGCAGCUCAACUGUAGAACUGCCUUUGAUACUGCUAGUCUUGAGUCAUUAUGAAGUGGUUAGAAUGUGUAGUGUAGCGGUGAAAUGCAUAGAUAUUACACAGAAUACCGAUUGCGAAGGCAGAUCACUAAUAAUGUACUGACACUGAUGGACGAAAGCGUGGGAGCGAACAGGAUUAGAUACCCUGGUAGCGACUGA
rnacentral:rRNA from 1 species